AGUAACGCGUGGGUAACCUGCCUUGUACUGGGGGACAACAGUUAGAAAUGACUGCUAAUACCGCAUAAGCGCACAGUAUCGCAUGAUACAGUGUGAAAAACUCCGGUGGUACAAGAUGGACCCGCGUCUGAUUAGCUAGUUGGUGAGGUAACGGCCCACCAAGGCAACGAUCAGUAGCCGACCUGAGAGGGUGACCGGCCACAUUGGGACUGAGACACGGCCCAG
rnacentral:rRNA from 1 species